rnacentral:lncRNA from 1 species
AUGCUAUGUUUAAAAAAAAUGUGGCUGAAUGGGGUGCUAGUACUGGGUCCAGAGGCCUGGUUUGCUCUCACUCCGUGUCUUGGAAGACUGCCACGUCACAUGAACCACAGGGGCCAGCCUACCAGAGGACAAAUGACGACACGGGAGAGAGCUCAACUGUCCCAGCUGAAGCCAUCCUCGGCCCGCCUGUAGCAAGCUCACUCCCAGGCACGAGAAAGAGUCCAGCUAAGCUCAGCAGAGCUGGCCCACGGCUGGCCACAAGCAUGAGUGAGCCUGGCUGAGGCCAGAAGCACUGCCUAGGUGACCUGUAGGCUCAUGAACAAUGACAAAUCCCUGCUGUUUUAAGCCACUGAGUUUUGAGGUAGUUUGUUAUGUAGCACGAGCUAACUGACACCAUGCUUUCUGUUCCAAAUAAAUAAUAUACCUUUAAGAACCAUAGGAAUCUGAGGUUAAAAUUAAAAAUAAAAAGCAUUUGGCAUUUAUUGAAUGCCAAGGAUUUUAAAGUAGAUAGUACGAAUAACUCCAUUUCAACUCUUAAUUGAAAUACAGGAUUCCCAUUUUGCAAAAGUGCUAAUUUGAAUCCUUAAAAAUGGAAGCAGUCACUGAAGUACAAAAUAAAGUUAUUACUCUUAAAUAUCAUAUAGUAAUGUUUGUUAUCCUGUCUACCAAGGAUAAAACUUCUGUAUGCUUUACCUUCCUAAAAACAGCUAAAUUAAAGCAAUUUAACCAUCCUUAAAUUCUAAACUGAUAAAAAGAGAUCAUUCAAUUAAUCAUUUUAAAAGGGCAUACUAUAUGUUACAAAUUAAGUCCAAGGUCCUGAUUUCUUUUAAACUCUGGGCAAACAGUAAUUCUGAGAAAAUCUGAUUUUCU